rnacentral:rRNA from 1 species
GACGAACGCUGGCGGCGUGCUUAACACAUGCAAGUCGAACGAAGAGCGAUGGAAGCUUGCUUCUAUCAAUCUUAGUGGCGCACGGGUGAGUAACGCGUAAUCAACCUGCCCUUCAGAGGGGGACAACAGUUGGAAACGACUGCUAAUACCGCAUACGAUCCAAUCUCGGCAUCGAGGAUGGAUGAAAGGUGGCCUCUAUUUAUAAGCUAUCACUGAAGGAGGGGAUUGCGUCUGAUUAGCUAGUUGGAGGGGUAACGGCCCACCAAGGCGAUGAUCAGUAGCCGGUCUGAGAGGAUGAACGGCCACAUUGGGACUGAGACACGGCCCAGACUCCUACGGGAGGCAGCAGUGGGGAAUCUUCCGCAAUGGACGAAAGUCUGACGGAGCAACGCCGCGUGAGGGAUGACGGCCUUCGGGUUGUAAAGCUCUGUUAAUCGGGACGAAAGGUCCUCUUGCGAAUAGUUAGAGGAAUUGACGGUACCGGAAUAGAAAGCCACGGCUAACUACGUG